GCCACAGCUAGCAUCACCUUAAGAAAGAACACCAGCGGGAGAAAUCUUAUUCUUUUCUUUCCUACCACAGGCCCCUGUCCCAGGGUGUCGGAGAUUCAAGAUUACCUCUGUAGCAGUUGCUCAUCAACAGGCUCAACACCAGAUCAUUGAAAUUAUUGGGAGUACCAGUGGAAUCUGCAGCAUGUCUGGGUAUGAAGUGAGUACAGGUGCUGAAGAUUACUGGGAAUUUUAAUGCUGUCUGUUGACUUUGCAAUGAGAACUGUUUCAUGCUGUUGAGAUGUCUAUGUUCAUGGAAAAGAAUAGACCUGCUCA
rnacentral:lncRNA from 1 species